rnacentral:rRNA from 1 species
GGUUGUAUGUCUAACGGGAANCAGCCCAGAACAAGUGUUAAUAGGGUUCCAAAAUUAUUAUUAAGUGAAAUAAAGGUAGUUUAUGUCCUAAACGGCCAGGAAAUGGGCUUAGAAGCGGCCAUUUUUUAAAGACCUCGUAACAGAGCACUGGUUUUCUCCUAAUUUUUAGGGUAAAUUAAGCAUAAGCAGAUAGCGUUUUUAAUUUAGUUUACAUGGAUAUAAGCACCGACGAUAUAACGGAUCUAAAUAAUAUACCGAGACCUUGUCCAUAAAUAUAUAUAAUAUAUAUAUGACCAGAGUAUAUUAAUUAAUUUAUAUGUUUUAGAAUCAUACUAGGGCGGCGUACAUCCGGCUGCUAGUUGCAACAUAUACAUUAGAGUUAAUUUUUAUCUCUAGCAAGCCUUAUUAACAACCACCUGAAGGAGAUAGAGUGCGGGCAUGCUAAAAGUUAUAUGUUUUGUAUCGUUUUAUGGAGUAACGCAACAUUGGGUAUACCACACCCUUUUAUUUUAUAAAUAAAAAAAGGCACCCCAAGUGAAGAUGCUUACAGCAGUAACGAUAAAGGGUUUGAAACAAGACACUUAAUUAG